AUUUCCCUGUGAGUUUGUAAAUGCAGACUUUCUUUUUUCUUCUUGCAGUUUCUCACUCCAUGUUCAUGGUGGCUUUCCAACCCCUGGUGAUAAGCCAAGGCAGAGGAAAUCCAGCUAGCUGCUGUGUCCCACACAGUCCCUUCCCAAAUGAUUCCUCCCAGGCAGACUGGGAAUCAUCUUGAUGCUGGGAUUGUUACUGUUCUCCUGGCAGCUGGGGCCUUUUGUACCUUUCCAUUGCCAGUUCUGUUCAACUGCAAAAGUGGUGAAUGUUGGUUGAGGUGGAGAGAAAGAACAGAGACACCUGCAGGAGAAUACAUCAAGGAAGAGAGCAGCUUCUGCUGAAGAGAAGCAGAUGUGACAUGAUGUAAUGUUGCUUUUCAGGUUGAAAAAAAUCCUGCCUAGAGAGUUUUCUGAACAAAAGGGUUUCAUUUCUUCAAUCAGUCUGUGACAACAAGGCCUAAGAAAAGCAUCCUUCAGAAUAAAACAGAUUUCAGCAAUGAACAUUGGCCAAGUAGAGCAGAAUAUAAUUUAGGUGAGUAAUGAAGGACAAAACACAAUACCAGUGCCUGUAUGCAAACUCAUUCUCCCAUGGCAAUUUAUAGUAUUCUUACUAUUG